rnacentral:rRNA from 1 species
AUUGAACGCUGGCGGCAGGCCUAACACAUGCAAGUCGAACGAGUGGCGGACGGGUGAGUAAUGUCUGGGAAACUGCCCGAUGGAGGGGGCUAACUACUGUAAACGGUAGCUAAUACCGCAUACAACACGAUGUGCCCAGAUGGGAUUAGCUAGUCGGUGUGGUAACGGCUCACCUAGGCGACGCUCCCUACCUGGUCUGAGAGGAUGACCAGCCACACGGGAACUGAGACACGGCCCAGACUCCUACGGGAGGCAGCAGUGGGGAAUAUUGCGCAAUGGGCGCAAGCCUGAUGCAGCCAUGCCGCGUGUAUGAAGAAGGCCUUCGGGUUGUAAAGUACUUUUAGCGAGGAGGCGUUACUCGCAGAAGAAGCACCGGCUAACUCCGUGCCAGCAGCCGCGGUAAUUC